rnacentral:rRNA from 1 species
UGGGGAAUCUUGCGCAAUGGAGGAAACUCUGACGCAGCCACGCCGCGUGAGUGAAGAAGGCCUUCGGGUUGUAAAGCUCUGUCGAGCGGGACGAACCGCCUGGUAGUUAACAGCUACCAGGUCUGACGGUACCGCUAAAGGAAGCACCGGCUAACUCCGUGCCAGCAGCCGCGGUAAUACGGAGGGUGCAAGCGUUGCUCGGAAUUAUUGGGCGUAAAGGGCAGGUAGGUGGUCUCGUUUGUCUGGGGUGAAAGCCUUGGGCUUAACUCAAGAAGUGCCCCGGAAACGGCGAGACUCGAGUACUGGAGAGGGUGGUGGAAUUCCCGGUGUAGCGGUGAAAUGCGUAGAGAUCGGGAGGAACACCAGAGGCGAAGGCGGCCACCUGGACAGUGACUGACACUCAACUGCGAAAGCGUGGGGAGCAAACAGG